rnacentral:rRNA from 1 species
UACAUGUGGGGCAAGCGUUGUUCGGAAUUACUGGGCGUAAAGAGUGUGUAGGCGGUGUUCCAAGUCUGUUGUGAAAUCUCCCGGCUUAACUGGGAGGGUGCGGCGGAAACUGGGAUGCUAGAGGAUGGGAGAGGUAAGCGGAAUUCCUGGUGGUAGCGGUGAAAUGCGUAGAUAUCAGGAGGAACACCUGUGGUGUAGACAGCUUACUGGACCAUUUCUGACGCUGAGACACGAAAGCGUGGGUAGCAAACAGG